AUUUGUCUGGUUAAUUCCGAUAACGAACGAGACCUUAACCUGCUAACUAGACUUUCUCAUUUUAUGAAUAAGUCUUCUUAGAGGGACUAUAUGCUUUAAGUAUAUGGAAGUUUGAGGCAAUAACAGGUCUGUGAUGCCCUUAUAUGUCCUGGGCUGCACGCGUGCUACACUGAUGUAUACAACAAGUGCCUAGCUAGAUAUAGUAUGGCAAUCUCGAAUAUGCAUCGUGAUGGGGAUAGAUCUUUGCAAUUAUAGAUCUUGAACGAGGAAUUCCUAGUAAGUGCAAGUCAUCAUCUUGCAUUGAUUAUGUCCCUGCCCUUUGUACACACCGCCCGUCGCUCCUACCGAUACCGGGUGAUCCGGUGAACCUUUUGGACCCUUUUGAGAAAAACAAGUAAAUCAUAUCACCUAGAGGAAGGAGAAGUCGUAACAAGGUUUCCGUAGGUGAACCUGCRGAAGGAUCA
rnacentral:rRNA from 1 species